rnacentral:rRNA from 1 species
GAAAGUAAGCAAGGGCAGACGGUGGAUGCCUUGGCUCUCGGAGGCGACGAAGGACGUGAUAAGCUGCGAAAAGCCCGGGGGAGGCGCAAAUAGCCGUUGAUCCCGGGAUAUCCGAAUGGGGCAACCCGGCAGGCUGAAGGCCUGUCAUCCCGAAAGGGAGGCGAACGUGGGGAACUGAAACAUCUAAGUACCCAUAGGAGGAGAAAAUAAACAAUGAUUCCGUAAGUAGUGGCGAGCGAACACGGAAGAGCCCAAACCCAUGUCGUCUAGGCGACACGGGGGUUGUAGGACCACGACGUGGCAAGAUAGAGUCAAGUGGAACGCCUUGGAAAAGGCGGUCAUAGAGGGUGAAAACCCCGUACACGACUGACGAUUGAAGCCUAGUGGCAUCCUGAGUAGCGCGGGGCACGAGAAAUCUUGCGUGAAUUAGCGGGGCCCAUCCCGUAAGGCUAAAUACUCCCGAGAGACCGAUAGCGAACCAGUACCGUGAGGGAAAGGUGAAAAGAACCCCGAGCAGGGGAGUGAAAUAGACCCUGAACCCGUCUGCCUACAAGCGGUCGGAGCGUCGUAAUGACGUGACGGCGUGCCUUUUGCAUAAUGAACCUACGAGUUACCUUCCCCGGCAAGGUUAAGUUCUUGAGGAACGGAGCCGAAGCGAAAGCGAGUCUGAACAGGGCGCCAAGUCGGGGGGGGUAGACGCGAAACCGAGUGAUCUACCCUUGGCCAGGUUGAAGGUUGGGUAACACCAACUGGAGGACCGGAUGGGUAAGCGUUGAAAAGCUUUCCAAUGAGCUGAGGGUAGGGGUGAAAGGCUAAUCAAACUCGGAGAUAGCUCGUACUCCCCGAAAUGCAUUUAGGUGCAGCCUCUUUAUAGUAUAUCGUGAGGUAGAGCGACUGAUUGGAUGCGAGGGCUUCACCGCCUAUCAAGUCCAGAUAAACUCCGAAUGCGCGAUAUAUAUUUAAAGGGAGUGAGGGCGCGGGUGCUAAGGUCCGUGUCCGAGAGGAGAAGAAUCCAGACCACCGGCUAAGGCCCCCAAAUGAUCGUUAAGUUGAACUAACGAGGUCGGAUCGCAGAGACAGCUAGGAUGUUGGCUUGGAAGCAGCCAUUCAUUUAAAGAGUGCGUAACAGCUCACUAGUCGAGCGAUCUGGCGUGGAUAAUAAUCGGGCAUAAACGAUCUGCCGAAGCCGUGGAUGUCGCAAGACAUGGUAGGGGAGCAUUCCAUGCGGCGUCGAAGAUGAGGGAUGACCCUUGUUGGAGCGCAUGGAAAAGCAAAUGUAGGUAUGAGUAACGAUAAGGGGGGCGAGAAACCCCCCCGCCGAAAGACCAAGGUUUCCUGAUCAACGCUAAUCGGAUCAGGGUGAGUCGGGACCUAAGGCAAAGCCGAACGGCGCCGCCGAUGGAAGAAUGGGUUAAUAUUCCCAUACUGCCUCAUGGAGUGACGUGGAGACGGAGAAGUGACAGUCCUGCCGGCUGACGGAAUAGCCGGUUGAAGGGUGUAGAUAUUGAUUCCCGUAGGCAAAUCCGCGGGGAGAGUCGAACCUGAGAGUAUACGGAGCGCUUGCGCAACGUAAUAUGGACGUAACCAUGCUCCCGAGAAAAUCCGCUAAACUUAUCCAUGCGGCACCCGUACCGUAAACGGACACACGUGGUCGGGUUGAGAAUACUGAGGCGCUCGAGUGAUUCACGGUUAAGGAACUAGGCAAAUUGACCCUGUAACUUCGGGAUAAAGGGUCCUCGUCGUAAGGCGAGGCGCAGAGAAUAGGUCCAGGCAACUGUUUAACAAAAACACAUGGCUGUGCUAAAUGGAAACAUGAUGUAUACAGCCUGACACCUGCCCGGUGCCGGAAGGUUAAGAGGAGAUGUCAUCCGCGAGGAGAAGCGUUGAAUUGAAGCCCCGGUAAACGGCGGCCGUAACUAUAACGGUCCUAAGGUAGCGAAAUUCCUUGUCGGGUAAGUUCCGACCUG